CAAGACUUGACAUCCCGCUGACCGCUCUAGAGAUAGAGUUUCCCUUCGGGGCAGCGGUGACAGGUGGUGCAUGGUUGUCGUCAGCUCGUGUCGUGAGAUGUUGGGUUAAGUCCCGCAACGAGCGCAACCCCUAUGUUGUGUUGCCAUCAUUUAGUUGGGCACUUACAACAGACUGCCGGUGACAAACCGGAGGAAGGCGGGGAUGACGUCAAAUCAUCAUGCCCCUUAUGUCUUGGGCUACACACGUGCUACAAUGGGCGGUACAAAGAGAUGCGAGACCGCGAGGUGGAGCCAAUCUCAUAAAGCCGUUCGUAGUUCGGAUUGCAGGCUGCAACUCGCCUGCAUGAAGCCGGAAUUGCUAGUAAUCGCGGAUCAGCAUGCCGCGGUGAAUUCGUUCCCGGGCCUUGUACACACCGCCCGUCACACCACGGGAGUUGGCAACACCCAAAGUCGGUGAGGUAACCUUUACAGGAGCCAGCCGCCUAAGGUGGGGUCGAUGACUGGGGUG
rnacentral:rRNA from 1 species